rnacentral:rRNA from 1 species
GAAUAUUGGGCAAUGGGCGAAAGCCUGAUCCAGCCAUGCCGCGUGAGUGAUGACGGCCCUAGGGUUGUAAAGCUCUUUCGCAGGUGAAGAUAAUGACGGUAACCUGAGACGAAGCCCCGGCGAACUUCGUGCCAGCAGCCGCGGUAAUACGAAGGGGGCUAGCGUUGUUCGGAAUUACUGGGCGUAAAGCGCACGUAGGCGGAUACUUGAGUUAGGGGUGAAAUCCCAGGGCUCAACCCUGGAACUGCCUUUAAUACUGGGUAUCUCGAGUCCGAGAGAGGUGAGUGGAAUUCCGAGUGUAGAGGUGAAAUUCGUAGAUAUUCGGAGGAACACCAGUGGCGAAGGCGGCUCACUGGCUCGGUACUGACGCUGAGGUGCGAAAGCGUGGGGAGCAAACAGG